GUUUUAAUAUAAUAAUGAGUUUGAUCCUGGCUCCGAGAGAAUGCUAGCAACUUACUUGAUACAUGCUAGUCGAACGCUUAUAUGAGCGUGGCGUACGAGCGACAAGGGCAAAGAUAGAAAAUACAUCAGUCAAGGGAAAUCCUAGAUUUAAAAGAUUAUAUCGCUGAAUGUAAGGUCUUUGUGAGAUUAGGUUGUUGGUAAGAUAAAAGCCUACCAAGCCGAUGAUCUCUAGCUGGUCUGAGAGGAUGUACAGCCGCGUCGGAAAUGCAAUAAGGUCCGGACUCCCUCGGGAGGCUGCAGUAGGGAAUCGUGAACAAUGUGCUAACGCUUGAUUCUAUAAUGUUGCGUGGGGGAUACAAAAAACAUUAUUUUAUACUUAUUGUUUUAUAAACAAAUUUAUAUAUAAAAUAGUGAUAAUUCUAGCAACGACUUAAGCGCAAUAAAAGUUUCCGUAAAAAGAGAUUUUUAUCUGUGUCUUCUGUAGCGUGCCUUUCUAGUAGACGGCAAGUUGUCUUAAACCCCUUUUUUUACGAUUAUAAUGACUGUAGUUAGUAUAUAUCUAUUUAUCAAGAUGAGGGUUGGUAAAUUACAUUUUGUUUGUUAGACUAAAAUACUCGAGCAAAAAUGCCUUAUGCUGCUUUGCUUAAAAAUAUCAAACCCCGGCUAACUUCGUGCCAGCAGCCGCGGUAAAACGGGGGGGGUUAGUGUUAUUCGUGAUGACUGGGCGUAAAGGGUACGUAGGCAGAUAAUUGAAAAUACAGUAAAAAACUGAGGUAAACCCUCUUCAUUCUGUAUUCACUCAUUAUCUUGAGUUCAGAAGGCGGUUUAUUGAAUUCUCGAAGGAAGGGUGAAAUCUGUUGAUAUCUGGAAGACAUUCGAUAGCGAAAGCAACAUCCGAUUCUGAUCUAACGCUCAGGUACUAAAGUAUGGGGAUCAAAUAGGAUUAGAGACCCUAGUAGUCCAUACCUUAAACAAUGAGUGUUCAACGUCUUUAAUAUAGUCAAUAUAUUUAGGGGGUUUAAAGCUAACGCGUGAAACACUCCGCCUGGGGAAUGUGGCCGCAAGGUCUAAACUCAAAGGAAUUGACGGUGACUUAUACAAGGGGUGGAGCAUGUGGUUUAAUUCGACAUACCGCGCAAAACCUUACCAAUUUUUGUAUCUGGUUUCUUUUCGUUAGCCAUUUAUUUGGUUAGCCUUCUUCUUUCUGUUGAAGGUCUACUACGAUAUCGAUUGAAGAUGUGGGUGUUUCUAUGCGUAAGCAUGAUCUAGCUAUUUUCAAUUAACGGUAACCAAUGACAAGAGCUGCAUGAUUGUCGUAAGUUCGUGCCGUGAGGUGUUGGGUUCAUUCCAUAAACGAACGCAACCCUUUUGAUUAGUUGCAUAAUGGAUGAAAGUUUAAACUGGAUAUCCAUGUUCACUAGUUCAACCAGCCCUUCUACCUUUAGGGAUUAAGGACAGGUCCACGUCAAAUCAUUAUGGCCUUAAUAGAUUGGGCUACACAUGUGCUACAUUGAUGAUCGACAACAAGAAGCAAUGGCGUGAGCCUGAGCAAAUCUUUAAAAGACAUUUCAGUCCGAAUUGUUCUUUGAAACUCAAGAGCAUGAAGCCGGAAUCUCUUGUAAUCGUGGAUCAUUACGCCACGGUGAAUUAGUACAAAAGUCACGUACAGACCGCCCGUCAUGCUAUGGAAACUAUUUGAAGUAGAAGUUACAAGGUUUCAAUUGUUUCGAUAGACCACCUUAUUGAAAGUUUUCAUAAGGCCUUGACAUUCUGUUGGCUUUGUACACGACUCUUUAUUUAGGGACUGGAGUAAAGUCGAAACAGGGUAGUGGUAGAAGAAUCUGCUGCUGGACCAUUAUUA
rnacentral:rRNA from 14 species